CUCCAGACUCCUACGGGAGGCAGCAGUGGGGCCUCUUGCACAAUGGGGGGCACCCUGAUGCCGCGACGCCGCGUGGGUGAGGAAGUCCUUCGGUAUGUAACGCCCUCUCAGCAGGGCCGCCAAUGACGGUCCCUGACUAAGAAGCCCCGGCUAACUACGUGCCAGCAGCCGCGGUAAUACGUAGGGGGCCCGCGUUAUCCGGCUUUACUGGGUGUAAAGGGAGCGGAGACGGCGUGCCAAGUCUGAUGUGAAAGGCCGGGGCUCAACCCCGGGACUGCAUUGGAAACUGGCAUGCUGGAGUGCCGGAGGGGCAAGCGGAAUUCCUAGUGUAGCGGUGAAAUGCGGAGAUAUUAGGAGGAACACCGGUGGCGAAGGAGGCUUGCUGGACGGUAACUGACGUUGAGGCUCGAAAGCGUGGGGAUCAAACAGGAUUAGAUACCCUAGUAU
rnacentral:rRNA from 1 species